rnacentral:rRNA from 1 species
CCUACGGGAGGCAGCAGUGGGGAAUAUUGGGCAAUGGAGGAAACUCUGACCCAGCGACGCCGCGUGCGGGAUGAAGGCCUUCGGGUUGUAAACCGCUUUCAGCAGGGAAUAAGCGCAAGUGAAGGUACCUGCAGAAGAAGCACCGGCUAACUAUGUGCCAGCAGCCGCGGUAAUACAUAGGGUGCAAGCGUUGUCCGGAAUUAUUGGGCGUAAAGAGCUCGUAGGUGGUUUGUUACGUCGGUUGUGAAAUUCAGGGGCUCAACCCCUGACUUGCAGCCGAUACGGGCAAGCUAGAGUUUGGUAGGGGAGACUGGAAUUCCUGGUGUAGCGGUGGAAUGCGCAGAUAUCAGGAGGAACACCGAUGGCGAAGGCAGGUCUCUGGGCCAAUACUGACACUGAGGAGCGAAAGCGUGGGGAGCGAACAGGAUUAGAUACCCUGGUAGUCCACGCCGUAAACGGUGGGCGCUAGUUGUGCGAACCUUCCACGGUUUGUGCGACGCAGCUAACGCAUUAAGCGCCCCGCCUGGGGAGUACGAUCGCAAGNUUAAAACUCAAAGGAAUUGACGGCUUGAGAGNGCGAGCGACGACGAGGAGAG